rnacentral:piRNA from 1 species
UGGGACAUGACCUCCAGUUUUUGUGGGACA